rnacentral:lncRNA from 1 species
GCUUUCCUUUCGUUCAGUCAUGGAUUAUCUGUCGAGACAGGGCUGCUCUCUGUGCUUUUUGAAUAUAAAAUGUGGUGAAUGACAUUGAAUUAAAAGACACUUUUAGGGUUUAAUAGACCAAAACUUCAAUUAUAUCUGUAAAUGGCUGGCUUUGAAAAACAAAAACAUAGACGCUGCCUCAUUAUAUGAAAUACUUCUACUCAGUUUGAAAAGUUUGAGAUGUUCUUGUUCUGAAAAAUCAAUAAUUGGCACUUGAUCGCCUGUUGUGUAAAUUACAUGAGUUAAGUACAUCAACACAGCAUGCUCUAUCUACAAUAGACUGAUGCAAACCCUGUUGCAUUUUCUCAUUUAAAAUGGAUGAAGAUCUAAGCGCUCAACUAGACGGCAAUUCUUGUUAUCGCCUGAGGGAUGAGGAGAAGAAAAAAGAAAGGGAGAAAGGUGAGCAAAAACAACAGGGGGAGGCAAAACCGAAAAUUAAACUGUGCAACAUGAGGAGUGGGGAACAGUCAAAGAGUUUUCAUCGCCCACUCUCACCUUCCCUUUCCCCUGUGUUUUAUUUUUGUUCUCAUCUUCGCUGUAUCCAUGAUGCAACGGAGGGCAAUGGCUGCUUUACUCCGACGUUCAUUGAGUCAUUAUCAGAGAUUAAAAAAGCAUUGAUAAGAGAAGGUGGCUAUCCUCUCUUGUUUAGUGUUUUUUCCGUCUUCGCUCUCUCUCUCUCUCUCUCUCUGAUUCUACCUUUGCGGUGUUGGGGUCCAGCUCUGUGGGAUCAAAGAUGUAAUGUUGCAUUAAAGGUACGUCAUAUGUUGACUCAUGUUUUGCAAUCCCAGAAACGCUCGCGCCGCUGGCUCAGAGACAGGCAGUUGCUUCACGGAGUCAAAUGUUUGAAGAUUUUGUCUGUUAAAUCCUAAAUCCCUCCAGUUUGAAGUGGUGCACGAGCAGCUGAGCCUCGCUACAGGUUUUGGAAGCUGCGUUUUAGUGCGGAGACAAACAGAUCAUUUGAUCGAUGGAAAUGUAGAUGGACCAAAGUAAUCAUCACAAUUUAUCCCUGUCUGCUACCAAUAAUGUAGAUAGUCAGGUAAUUUGCAUUCAGGCGUAUGCUUUUUGUGAAAUAUGAUCUUUAAUCAAGUACAUAUUCAAUCAUUAUGAUUAAGAAACCAUUCUAUUGAUCAUAUCUGAAAACUGUUCACUGUCAGUGUCGUUCAUUUAUUCUCUAACAACAUCUGCUUCUGCUGACCACUCUGUGACUGAUAGCUUUGUGGUGAUUUGUUAGCAACUUAGACAUGUAAUUCUUGCAGCUAGCUAGCAGAGCGCUGCCCCUUUGGUCAAAUGGAAACACCAGUAUGCUACAAGUUAGCGUUAACAGUCGAAUUAUCCAAGGUGUAGCCUUCAUGCUAAUAAGAUAGCUAUCAUUCUGUGCUCAAACUUUUUCUGUCUGCAUCUUAUUGGCAUGUUAUCUUAUAGUUGUGGAGAUAUCUCAGCUGAGACAGACUCAGUGGUGGACAGACUCAGUUAUUGACAGACUGAAUUCCUGAAAGCACCAUCCCAGGGGUCACACUGCUAGCGUAGCUUCAAAAAACAUGUUGCAGCAUUCUAACUUCGACACAGCUGUUUGAUAUUCGAGUGAAACACACAAAACUGACUGUUUACACCCAGCAUGAGGAGCAUAUAUAGGAAAAUGUCAGCAGCUGUUGUGUUUGAUUCCCUCAUAUUAUGACAUUUGUUAACUCCAAUCAGCCAUAAUUUAGCAUUUCAGUCCUAGCUUUGAUAGCAAAUAUAGGUAUCUUAAGUAUGUGUUUCUACAUGCUAACUAUAAAAUGGUUUAAAACAAUCUUGUAUCUCACUUUUCAGUGCGAAUCUUAAGUGUGAAUUAGCCAAAAUGCAGCUUUGUGCUCCAUGAUCUUGUUGAAUCAGGUGACUCAAACAAUGAAAGAUUUACUUCUUAUAAAAUUUUCAAGUAUUUAAACAACACUGAAAGCUUUUUCGUUAGCUGUUCAUUGACUUAAAUAUUAUUUGAACACUAGGAGCCACUCAAUCCAUGAUCACGAUUGAAAUGGCAAAAUAAGCGGAUUUUUAAGUCGAUUUUUAUAAAGCUCCAGUGAGUAGUUUUUGACGUUUAUAAAUAAUCUGAAAUUCAUAUUGGUGCCUUUUCAUGUUAUCUUAACAAAACAAGAUUAUCAGGGACGAGAUUGAUGAUUUUGAUGUUGUAAUCUGUAAUCACUGAAACUUGUUUUAGGGGAUAAGUGUCAGCGGUGCAGCUAAAGAAACAGUUUUCACAUUAAAUAUUUACAUUUAAUUAUAUGUUUGACAGUAAAAGCCUGCAGGAGGAGAUUUUUUUAACUCAUAUACACAACUUGACUCCAUCUAAGAAGCUAAAUUUUACUGAUUACAACACACAAAGUUCUUUUUUUUGGCUCAUAGUAUCUUGAAAUAAAAUUCGUAUACAUUAUAUUUAGACUUGUCUGGUAAAUAAACCGUUUUGGGGCUUAAGAGACAAAUAUACUCGCUAAGAUUUAAUUUCCCUGGUGUCACAUAAUAUCUUGGUUGUACGAUGCUAUCAUAACUUUUGCACUAAAAGGCUGCUGUUUUUAUUUCAGUCUAACCUCCUCAUGAACUCACUGCCCUAAAAGGAUCUAACAUUUUACUACAUUAGAAAAUAACAGGUGAGAAUAGCACAGUAUGGAUGUAUUCUUCAAAAGAUGAAGUUGCAUGAUUGAGCUACUCGAAUAAAAAGCACGGCCAGUUGAUGAAAACAGAAAUAAAAGACAUUUGUCUUCUAUCUGUCAACACUUUAUUGUGGAAGAGAAACAUUUCAGGUUCCUCCAGACAGAGUAAUGAAGGUGCUAUUCAUCAUCAGUCUCAGUUGUGACUCUGCUCACUAAUACAUGCCGGUGUGAUAGACUGAUUGGCAAACACAAAGGGCUAAUGGCAUACAUGCCAAUCUGCAGGCGCUCCUGGGCUGUGUGUCGGGAUUUGAUUGCAAGUUGUUGAAAAUGGGAAUGUAACAGCAGGUGGACAAUAGUGUGGCUGAUUUACAGCGCUCAUACCCAUGCGUGUGUCUGUGUGUGUUUCUGUGUGUGUGUGUGUUUAACUCUUGCAGUUCCACAGAACCUCUAACUGGUCCUGUAAAACCAGUCUCAUUUGUUAUUCGAUGAAUCCUGUGACGUCAUGCAUUCUUCGUCGGACACAUGCGAGGGCGUGUGAAAGAACUUGUCGUAAUGCCCAAAAACAGAAUUCUGAGAAACAUGCACACACACACACACGAAUGCACAUUCCUGCACAAACACCACUCUGUACAUCUAUCCUCAUUUACUUCUCCUGCCUCCCUCUCUCCCUCUCUCCCUCUCUCCCCAGUGCUAAUCCCUUUUUUCUCAGCAUUCUCUGUGGGCUGAUUUUCCACCCCCCUCCAUCUUUCUCCCUCUUUUCUCCCCAUUCUUCUCAUUUUUUAACUUUUCCCCUGUUUAUAUCCCCUGCCGUGUUCCCUUUUCUUUCCAAUCCCUCCCUGCCUGCCUCCUGUCUUUUCUCCUUCCACCUGCUCUCAUUUCUCUUCCUGGCUCAUUUUCUCCUCUCCCCCCGUCUCCCAGUGUAUCGCCGCACACUCUUGUAGUCAAUUAUCCCUUCUGUUAAUGAGCAGAUAAAUCUAAUUGCUCUCUCCUUCAGUGCCUGACGGCGUCUCUCUUCUCUGCUUUUUUCUACGCCUGCAGGACACGCAUCAUUCUCCCCACUAGUCAUUUUUCAACCCUUCCUCCAUGCUCUGGUAUUACCCCACUUUUUCAUCCACUUCCUGGUCCUUACACCCCAGGAUCCAAAUCUUGUCUCCCUUUUCGGUUUCGUCCCCCAUCUUUCAUGCCACCCUUGUUUAUUUAUCUCUACUGCCUUGACCUUUUCUUUCACUUCACCCUCUAAUUUUUCACCUCACCUGACUCUUCACCUUCACCUCCAUUCACUUUAUCGCUCCUCUUCUUCUCUCUGCUUCAGUGUGAUCUGUGGUUUAAGAAGGAUGAUGAGAGAGGCAGUGAAGGGCUGCUGGUCACAGGGAUUGAUAGUGGCAGAGGGCAGGGGCGGUUUAUCUUCUCCAGUCAUGGGGUCAGCUCUCCUCCAGAUAAUCUUUCUUCUAUUGGCCGAUUUUUACAGUUUUACCCAUUUCAUAGUCAUAGACUGGAGCAGAAAGUAAUCAGUAAGCCUGUAUGGCUUCUUUGAAAAGCAGCCACGGAGCAGAAUUUCAAACUUAGAUCAGGAACAGAGCGCUGAAAACCAGACUUUCUUUUCUCAUACAGUACGUACCCCCCAUUUUAGCUGCAUCAGUGACCUAUACGAUACUUGUUUGUUAAGUGAAAUAUUAGAGCAAUUUAAAGUUACCCAAAGGCCAA